rnacentral:lncRNA from 1 species
UCCUCAAGCAAGGUGGGGAGGUCUCUGGCGUGAAGGGAGAGCACCGAAACCUGGGAGAGGUGGGACAGCGUCUGAGUGGACAGCUACCGGCUAUUCCUUGAGAGGAGUCAAAACACAGACACGGUUUGGGACCAACCAUACAGGCAACGAUGGAGCUUUGUGGAAAAGGAUUGAAGAGCUCCCAGCCCGAAUGCAUACGCCCACAUAGGUGACACAUCUUCCUGGGUCCCUUCCUCAGUGGCUUGGCUGCAAAACUAUACCAACAACCAGAGUCCUCCUCCUCAGCCGCUCUGCCAAAGUUCCACCAAGUUUCUGUUGCCUGACAGGCCUUGGGCCUGAGGUUGGGCCUACAGAAAUACGCUGAGCCCAGCCCCACCCUUAAUAAAGUCACCAUUUAGCAGUG